UUCUGCCAUCUGGCGGUUGCAAUGACGCCGACGGCAAUUUGCAAUCAAUGCGCAAUAUAUCUGUCCUUUCGCCAUCUUGUCGUUAGAGGGUUUUAAUUGGUAUUCAGUUCCAAUCGUCAGCCAAACCUCUUCUAACAUGUCAGUGCGUGGAAGUAAUUUCAGUGGCAACAGAGGUGGAUUUGGAAACAACAAGGGUGUGGGAGGAUUUGGUACUGACAGAAAACCAAAUGGCUUUGGAGGAGAAAGGAAGCAGGGUGGAUUUGGUGGAGAUAGGAAUGGGAGAGCAUCUGGUGGUGGCAGACCAAAUUUUGGAGACCGAAGACCCAGCAGAUUUGAUUCACCCCAGAAUCAGGGUGUAGGAAGUGAAUUAGGAAGUAGUCUAAGGAAGCCACAAUGGGAGAACACUUUGCUAACACCAUUUUCUAAAGACUUCUAUACACCACAUGAUAAAAUUAAUGACAGGCCCAUUUAUGAAGUGGAAGCCUAUCGUUCAGAACAGCAGAUAACUGUUAGAGGACAAGAAACUCCAAGGCCGAUACAAAGUUUUGAAGAAGGAAAUUUUCCUGAGUACAUAGUGGAUGAGAUUAGGAGAUCUGGCUUUGCAGCACCUACAUCAAUUCAGGCCCAAGGCUGGCCCAUUGCAAUGAGUGGUAGAGACAUGGUUGGCAUUGCACAGACUGGCUCUGGAAAAACUUUGGCAUAUAUUUUGCCAGCAACUGUGCACAUCAAAAACCAGCCAAGAUUGAGUAGGGGUGAUGGCCCUAUUGUGCUUGUAUUAGCACCCACUCGGGAAUUGGCACAACAGAUUCAGACAGUGGCCAGAGAUUUUGGUUCAUCAUCGUACAUUCGUAAUACCUGUAUAUUUGGCGGUGCACCGAAAGGCCCUCAGGCCCGGGAUUUGGAGCGUGGUGUUGAAAUAGUCAUUGCAACUCCUGGUCGUUUGUUGGACUUCCUAGAACGUGGAACUACUAAUUUACGAAGAUGCACUUACUUGGUUUUGGAUGAGGCAGACCGUAUGCUGGACAUGGGAUUUGAACCACAGAUUAGAAAGAUUAUAAGCCAAAUUCGUCCUGAUCGACAAACACUUAUGUGGUCUGCUACAUGGCCGAAGGAAGUCAGAAAUUUGGCAGAAGAAUUCCUCACAAACUACAUUCAGGUCAACAUUGGUUCUCUGCAGCUGUCAGCAAACCAUAACAUAAUGCAAAUUGUUGAUGUGUGCCAAGAGCAUGAAAAGGAACAAAAAUUGAAUGUUCUAUUACAAGAAAUAGGUUCAGAAAGAGACUCUAAGACAAUUAUCUUUGUUGAAACUAAGAGGAAGGUGGAAGAUAUCACAAGGAAUCUGAAUAAUUAUGGGUUCCGUGCCAUAUGUAUGCAUGGAAACAAGUCUCAGCAAGAAAGAGAUUAUGUGUUGAGAGAGUUCAGAAGUGGGAAGUGCUCCAUUUUGGUCGCCACAGAUGUUGCAGCAAGAGGUUUAGGUCAGUCAUACUUUCCUACGUAAAAUGGUAAUGUAAACAGUCUGAGAUGGACGGGCAGACUGAUUUUGGGAUAAUAUUGUGAUAGUAGCUCAUAUAGCCAGACUGGUUGAUCUUGUUGUUUGCUGAAUCUGUUUUUUGCAUUCGUUGAGCUGUAAUGGUUCGGUAUAAUUUUUUGCAUAUAUAUACAAUUUCCUUUAAUUGCAUUUCUUUCUGGUCACCAAUUUUUGCACAAAAUAACACCUUCUUAAGGGACAUCCCAUUUGUUUGUUCUCACAUUGUUUUAUUUGUUUUCAUUUAUAUUUUUUCUGCCUAUGAGGACUAAGUUCUUUGAAAAUCCAUUUAUACCAGAAGGCUUUCAUUUGUUUUUGUGAUUUGUGCAUUUGAAAUACAUGGAGUAAUAACUCACUUAGAAGCUUCAUGUAUCACAGAAAUGAGAUGUCACAAUUAUAUUUUUAAUUUGAAUGUGUGUAUAUAUGCAUGCUGUUAUGCAGUUCAGAAGUUACGGUGAAAUGACAAGUGUUUGGUAAUGUCUGUAUGUUCAGCUGAUAGCUUAUUAGCUACAGCUUUCCAUUCAGACAUUAGUGAAAUUCUUGUUUUAAACAGUAGUAUCAAUGAGAUUAUUUUUGAAGCAUCAUGUUUGUUUCUGAUGUUAAUCAGUCUGGUCUUUUGUUUCAGAGGCACAUGCGAGAUAGUGAAAGUUGUGUAAAUGAAAUCUGGCAGUGCCUCUGCUUGGGAAGCAGUAUUUUUAGAGAGCAGUCUACAACUUAUGUGGAUUUUUUUGUAACAUUGAUGAAUGAUGCUACUAUCGCAGUUCAGAGUUAGAUUCUCUGCUUGAUGCCAUACAUAUCCCAAAAAACUACAUACUCCAGUGCCAGUUAUCCUUAGUCUAUGAAGUUACCUCCAUAGUUUGUUCUCCACAUACCACUCCCAAAUUCCUGUAACUGUCAGUACCAAAUUAAUUUAUCCUAAACUGAUUUGAGGCACUGGAGUCCCUGCUGUGAUGUCCAUUUCAGUGCAUAGCCAGUUAUAUUUCAAGAUGAAACUAUGUUUGUUGCAAUUAUUCCGAGUGCUGGAUUUCAGGUUUGUAAAAGACAUGUUGAAGGAAUAAGGUUUGUGAUAAACUAUGAUUAUCCUAAUUCAUCUGAGGAUUAUAUCCAUCGUAUUGGACGUACGGGACGUAGCCAAGAAACUGGAACAUCUUACGCAUUUUUCACACAAAACAACAGCCGUCAGGC